ensembl:lncRNA
AUGAUGAAGCUGCCUGAUCGGUGGAAAGACUCUGAUGACGAUGAGUCACUGUUCACUCAUGAUGCAACUCAGCGAAUCUGUUUCCACACAGGAAAUGAAAGAAACUGCAACUGGAGACUUUCCCCAGGAAAUUAUAGGCGUGGUUGUGAACCACAACACUUCAGCUCCAUCUUGAACCCUGGUUCUCUCUCGUCCACGCUUCUCUCGACCGGCCUCCGCCUUCAGAGGCCAAAACAACAUCCUCCCCCCAACAUCAUUAGAUAUCAUUAUAAAAUAAUAUUACACCAGUCGCUGAAUGUGUCCUUAACAAACAAGUUUCUACGUUGCAGGUUUUUUUCCGAGGUUAGAAAGUUCAACGAGAGGACAAACGUUUCAUCUGUGACUCAACAGGCUGCUCCAGUCACAUCUCGACGACUAGCAGUGAAGGCAAAGCGUCGCCAACACUUCCUGUCGGUAAAUGUGGGGACACGCCACCACGAUGUCACACAACUCACAUCGACAAAGACGCGUCUGCUCUCGUCACAUACGUCUGGUCGCAACAAGAACAAACCAAGACGCCGACUGGCUCGUACGUCCGGCGCCUGCGUGACAGGAUUAUCUCUCCUCACCAGCAGGGGGCGGCACUUUGUUCACCCCUUUCGGAAACGUUUUCUCUGUAACGUCGUACAGACGCGUCCUCUCCUGGAUCAUGUGGAUCAGUUGAACGUCUUCGUUCCACGGCGACCAGAGACGAAGAUGAACUGGCCAGUCUUUGAUUUCGUAUUUAUUUAUUAAGAUGAUAAGCGUGACAUGGAUUUGAAUCAUACUUUACAUGUUGAAGAAAGGUUAAGUCGGGUUACGUAACGUGAACAUGAAGCUCCGUCUCUGAUCUGAGACUCUGAGACGUAUUAACAUGUUUCAUGUUCACUACUCAGCUGCUGUUUGAUCCCCCCCCCCAUCCCCCCAUCACUCGCCUGUGACGGGGUUGCCAGGCAACCCUGUCUGGUCAGCCCCACAAUGCACACAGAUUUAAAACCCUGCUGCAAAUCUGCUCAGCAGCAAAAAUAUGAAAUGUAUUGAAAUGAAAGAUGUAUCUGUCAGCACAGUGCAGCGUGUGUGUGUGUUGUGAUGCUUCUCAUUCCGUAUUCCAGAGUCUGAUUACAGGAUCAGUCUGUUACGUUUCUGGAUGUUUUGCAGAUAUUUAAAACUCAAUGUUUCAGUGAAAACAUCAAAUCUCUUCUGCUCCGGUUCUUAUCAGUCGUUCCAGCUUCUGUUACGGAUCCUGGACGAGGGUCACGUCGGCCAAUCAGGGCCGAGUACAGCAGAGAAACAGGCUGUUUUCUCUGUGGUGACCAGCAGGGGGCGACUCCACUGGUUGAUUCUUUAGAAGUCAGUGAGUUCGUUCGUUCGUCUUUUGUUCGUUCAUUCGUUUCACCUCUUUCGUUAACGUUGUGAGACAGAAGGUUUUUUAUCAGACACGUUUCCUGACUGACUGACUCAGUGAGGAGAGGGAGAGGUUGUGAAACCAGUGAGUGAUCGUGAUGUAAACAGAAGGAGUUUUUUAAUGAUGAGUGAUGACGAGUCUCAUUUAAAAAGCUCAGCUACAAAGCGUAAAAAAGCUCCACAGGACGUUUCAACAGGAAGUGAAGAGGAAACUUUCCAGACGAGGUGCGUUGGAUUUAUUAGUCUCCGCUGCAGGAUUUCCCUUUUACAAGAUCACGUGUUGCAUCACUAAUGAGGCGGGUGAGGAAAGAGGUGAAGGUCGGACCUCAGCGGCGGCGGCGGCGGCAGACAGGCUAAAGGGAGCUAACGGGGGCUGAGCGUGGCGUGCUGAGCGUCUUGAGCGUGUCGUCCUCACGGAACCUUUUUACUCACCAGAGGUCAAAGGUUACUCAGGUCUCAGAUACUCAACAUUCUGUUUCUACAUCUUCGUCCCUCGAAGGUUCUGGUUUGAACAAAAAUAAAUAAAAACCCAGCAAACAGAAAUCAGAGGAUUAAUAUUAUUUUUAGAGACUUUUUUUUACUCUAAGCAAAGAAUGAAUGUUUUUGCAUGUUACGUGGAGAUUAUCUUCUGUCAUCUGAUGAUGUCGUGUCUCAAUCCUCAAUCUCUGUGAAUCAGACGCCUCCAGACCUGAAUGACCUCCGACCCCUGAAGACUGUGUGAUCCAUCACUUGUUGGUCGUAUCUGAUUUAUUCGAUCUCGGUCACUUCCUGUUUUAUUGAGUCUGGUCAACGAGCUGUUCGUCUGUUCGUCCGUCAAUCAUCUGGUUUAACUGGAUUUGAUUUGUGGAUCUUUGAUGUCGACUCACGAGCGUCAGAGGAUUGUGUCUGUUUCUUCUUCACUGAGCCUCAGUCUGUGUUUCCACCUGUGAGUCAUUCUGCCUCAGCGGUUUUUCAAAGAGCUUCUGAUCUGUGAGGCGCAGACGGCUCGACAUCCAUCAGCCCCCGAGUCGUCACGGUGAACAGGAAGUCCUCAGAAGCUGUCGCUCUUAUUCCCGUUCACAUGUUUUACUGACUCUGUUUGGCCAAAGUUAAAUGAUUGACAUCACUAUCAUGUCUGUCCAUUAAAUAUAAAGCCUCAGGUUCGGCUUCACUUUUGGCAGCUGUCAUGUCAUCCAUCUUUAUUCACCGUCUGUGGGUCACGUGUGUCGUUUCUCUGCUCAUGCUGUUGGUUCCUCGUCUCCUGGUUCCUCCGUCUGAGCGACACGUCUCUUCUCUGCUCAACCCGAGCGUGAAUCUUGUUCCACUCACAUCCAGGCGUCACUGCUGUCAGUGAGGUUCAGUGAGGUUCAGUGAGGUUCAGAGAGGUUCAGUGAGGUUCAGAGAGGUUCAGAGAGGUUCAGUGAGGUUCAGAGAGGUUCAGUGAGGUUCAGUGAGGUUCAGAGAGGUUCAGAGAGGUUCAGUGAGGUUCAGUGAGGUUCAGAGAGGUUCAGAGAGGUUCAGUGAGGUUCAGAGAGGUUCAGAGAGGUUCAGUGAGGUUCAGAGAGGUUCAGAGAGGUUCAGUGAGGUUCAGAGAGGUUCAGUGAGGUUCAGAGAGGUUCAGAGAGGUUCAGUGAGGUUCAGUGAGGUUCAGAGAGGUUCAGUGAGGUUCAGUGAGGUUCAGUGAGGUUCAGUGAGGUUCAGAGAGGUUCAGAGAGGUUCAGUGAGGUUCAGAGAGGUUCAGAGAGGUUCAGAGAGGUUCAGAGAGGUUCAGAGAGGUUCAGUGAGGUUCAGUGAGGUUCAGAGAGGUUCAGAGAGGUUCAGAGAGGUUCAGUGAGGUUCAGUGAGGUUCAGUGAGGUUCAGUGAGGUUCAGAGAGGUUCAGAGAGGUUCAGUGAGGUUCAGUGAGGUUCAGAGAGGUUCAGUGAGGUUCAGAGAGGUUCAGAGAGGUUCAGUGAGGUUCAGAGAGGUUCAGAGAGGUUCAGAGAGGUUCAGAGAGGUUCAGUGAGGUUCAGAGAGGUUCAGAGAGGUUCAGUGAGGUUCAGUGAGGUUCAGAGAGGUUCAGAGAGGUUCAGAGAGGUUCAGUGAGGUUCAGAGAGGUUCAGUGAGGUUCAGUGAGGUUCAGUGAGGUUCAGAGAGGUUCAGUGAGGUUCAGUGAGGUUCAGUGAGGUUCAGAGAGGUUCAGUGAGGUUCAGAGAGGUUCAGAGAGGUUCAGAGAGGUUCAGAGAGGCUUUGACCAGGAGCCUGAAGUUUCUGUAGCGCAGCAGGCGACUGCUCCUAAUUGGGGACGUCCUGCUGAGUUUGGUCUCUUGACACUUCAAAGGCUUAAUCCUGUUUCAGUGGAGAUUAAACAGAAAUGUGAAGCUGAUUUACAGCAGGAGAACAGGUUCACUGGAGGAAUGUGACACCUCAUGUGUUUUCUAUCAGAACCAGACGCCUUCAUUCUGUUUCUUUACACAAAGUUCAUGUUGUUUUUCACCUUUGUCAUUUAUUCAGCAAACUACGUAGGUUGAGAUGAGAGAGAAGAAGAAAAUCCAUACCCACAGUUUUUAAACCAUGUGUCUGCAUUUAACCACCGACAGUUUACUAAUCUUUGGUUAGGAAUUACAAAUCUGUGCAAACAGAUUACACAUGGAACUUUUUAUUUGUUCUUUGAGGUAAAAAAGAUAUAGAUAUUUAUAUGGAUAUGAUUUCAAAUAGCUGAUGUGAUUGAGCCUUGACAGCAGCUGUGGACGGACAAGAUGUUACAGCCUGAGGAUAACAGAUACGUCCUUCACCUCUUUGACCUUUCACCUCCGACGUGACUCGUUUGCUGUCACCUUUCUGAGACGCGUCUCGACGUGCUGACGUCUCGUCGUUGACUCGAGUCUUGAUUACACCAGGACACAUGUUUUCUGAUGUGCAGGGAAUGAACCAGUAGGAUCAAACAGGAAGUUGUCACAUGACUUCAAAAGAGAAACAACAAAUCAGUGAAAAUUCCAAAUGCUCAAAUUUUAUCUUGAUUCACUAAAACACUUGUGUGAAUGGUCUAGUUUUAAAAUGAAAAUGUCGUUGUAUGUGUGAAGCCUGUGUCCCUAAAUGACACAUGUAAGAAAAAUAUUAAUAAUAAUAACAACAACAGUAUUAAUACGUGACUGAAGAUGAAUCACAGGAAAUAUUUCAUUUUAAAAAGGACCCUGUCUUUGUAAAGGGAGACAAGGUCAGAGAGUCUCAGAGGAACGUCAGCUCUCAUUGGAGGAGAGAGAGAGUGUGUGUGUGUGUGUGUGUGUGUGUGUGUGUGUGACCCCGGGCAUGAAUAAAACACUGAUCCUCAGCCAAACCAUCAGUCUGACACACCGCCGCCUCCUCCGCCCUCGUCUCUGCUCGCUGGAGUUCAAGAACAUGUCUGUUCAUGUAGUUGUGACUGACACACACACACACACACACACACACACACACACACUAGCUUGUGUAGAGCAGGGCUGGUGUUAAGCCACACACAAACUCGACAAUGAAGCAACAACACAAAACACCAGGUGGACCACUAUUGUCCAGCUUCACUGUUCAUCCUGUUUCUUCAACAUGUUCUGUCUCACACACACACACACACACACACACACACACACACACACAAGGAUGUCUCCUGCCUCAGACACUGGUUUCUGUCCAUUACAGUCAGUUGGAUCAGCGGCUGCAGCAUCAAGGGCCCAAUUGGAUUUUGUGCAAAAAAAAGAAGCUUCCAGAGACAAACAGCUGACUGUGGCCACACGGGGGCGCCACUUGCCCUGCUUUCAUCCUACAACCAGACUGGAAACAGUUCUGGUUUAUUAAUGCUGCAAUAAAACAUCAAGAUCCUGCAGAGACACCAACCUGUGUGUGUGUGUGUGUGAUUCUUCUGUUUCUAAAAGAACCAGUCGACCUCUGUAUGUUUUGUCAUUAGUGUCCGAAGGUUCCUAAUGAUAAGACCUAUUGUUUUUGUAGAGGUUAUUUUUAUUUUUAUUAUUAUUAUUAUAAUUAAUAUCCUGCUGCAGAACCAGUUUUCCAGGGCCUAAUGAUGCGACUGUAUGGCCUCGGUGGAGUUUCUAGUUUGACUUUCAGAGAGACUUUCUGCUUCCUACUAACUUUUUAAAAUUAUAUAUAUAUAUAUAUAUAUAUAUAUAUAUAUAUAUAAUAUGUAUAUAUAUAUAUUUUUAUAUAUAUAUAUAUAUAUAUAUAUUUGCAGAUCAACCUGGACAUUGGCUCCACUCAUUGUUUCCAUGUCUCCAUUUGAUUUCUCAGUCAAAUGACACACGGUGGUUCACGAGCUUCAGCGUCUGCUGGAUGUUGUUGAGACUCAGUCGACCUGAAGCGAGUUCAGACUCGAGCUGAAUGUUCAGC